ensembl:antisense
UCCCAUAGUAGGAUUCAACAGUACUCCUAGCGAACGUUGGAACAUCCGUGUUUACGCGACAGUAAACCGCGAGUCCCGAAAACACAUAAGCCCACCGCUAAAACGUACUUACAGAAUUCUGCGAUGUAAUAAGAGACCACAUAAUUCUCCUCGCACCAGUCGAGAGUGGAAGUCGGUGUUCCCCAGUAGCCCGGCCUGUCCGCCGCCGGAGCCAUGAUGACGGUGAUCGGAGAGGUCGGACGGGCGGAGGGAGGAGCUGUUUUAACGGAAGACAAAAGGAUGGUCGGCGUAGAAGAGUUUGGGAUUUUUCAGCUGGUCUGUACCAAAGAUGCUAGUAUCAGGCGGAUUUCCCUCUGUGUCCCACUCCAUGGCUGAGGCAUGGAAAACAUUGGACAAAUAGAGGUCUUUCUUCCCUGAGAUGUUGGACAGAUCAGCCUUGGCCUUAUCCACAGCUUCAGUCAGACCCAGCUCAGCGAGAUGUUUCUGUUGUGGCUGACCUCCAUGCUGACCUUUGGCAGAGAGAUUGCUACUGCUUUCUGUUCCAUUGCACUGACCCAGGUGUUCAGUUGUUGACGUGUCAGCAGUUUCUCCACUCUUUCCAGUGAUUCUACGUGGUAUGGCAUGAUAAGGACUAAAGAUGACAUCUUAUGGGCCAGCGGCAUUUCCAGAACUAAAAGUUUGUUGGUUGUGUCAUCAAGGAAGCCAUAAAUGCCUGGAAGUAAACACAACAGGUGUGAUGUUCACUGUAUUGUGAAGGUUCCCACGCUUCUUGAAAGUACUUGAAUGUCAGACAUAUGGAUUCAAGGCCUGGAAAGUCAACAGUAUCUGGAUGCAGCCUUUAUGAUGCAAGCAGAGACUGCAUCACUCAGCAAUGCAAUGAUGAUCUACUCUUUUUAAUCAAGUCCUCACCUGUGCGGUGCAUCAUGGGUACGGAGACGGUGAAUGACCGGUGCACUAAGAAACCACGAUUGUCCACCAUCUUAUGAUGAAACUGCUCAUUCCAGUGUGCUGGAGAGAAAACAGAGACACGUUUUAGUUUCUAACGAAUCUACCAACUGCCUUUCACUCAAACUUUAAUCAACACUUACGUUUAUAAAACAUGGCAUUGAUGAUCAUGGCUCCAUCUGUCUUCUCCACAUCUUUGGUCACCUCCGGCAGCUUUCCAUCGGUGGACUUCGAUGCCCAGUCGUUGAUGGCUUUCACCGCACUGCGUUUGUCGCGGAAGUUAAUUUUGGAGUGGUCGUAAUUGUAAUGCUUCUUGCUGCUUUUCAGAAAGUCAUCAACGAAGCUAACAGAACUGGGCCCGUAGAAGCGGUUGCUGAUCUUCCAGGUGACGUUUCGUGCCUUUGGGUUGCUGACCUCGGUGAGGAGCUCCGAAAGCCCAGAAUGGAGUUGCUCAUCCUUCACUGAAGCGGCGCUCAAGACGGUUUUGACCUGAGAAGCAGUGUUGGAUUUUCCUCCAAGAGCCACCAGACCCAGCGAUGAGGCCACUACCACUGGGGAAAUCAGGAUGUUCUCGAUGUCCUUAUCUUUCGCCAUGUUUUGAUACAGGUUGAAGGCCAGUGUGGCGCUGUUGUCGGCUAGCGUGGUUGCAAUGCUGCUCAGGGUCUUGUUUGCGCUCACAGUGGCCAGUAGGCACAGGAGAAGCACGUUUGACGCCAACAUGAUUUUAGAGCUACUGUAUAAAUGGCAUCUGUUACUCACCUCUCAGAGCUCCUGAAAAACCUCUCUACAACCUCUCGGAUAUGCCGACGUGCCCACCACCAAAUCCUUCACGUAGACUUUAUAGAUGGGAAAAGAAACUUCUGGAAGUUAAGAAAGGAGUAUUAGAAUGGUUGUCGUUGUCUGU